AUCAGGAGGUUAGUGCAAUGGCAUAAGCCAGCUUGACUGCGAGCGUGACGGCGCGAGCAGGUGCGAAAGCAGGUCAUAGUGAUCCGGUGGUUCUGAAUGGAAGGGCCAUCGCUCAACGGAUAAAAGGUACUCCGGGGAUAACAGGCUGAUACCGCCCAAGAGUUCAUAUCGACGGCGGUGUUUGGCACCUCGAUGUCGGCUCAUCACAUCCUGGGGCUGAAGUAGGUCCCAAGGGUAUGGCUGUUCGCCAUUUAAAGUGGUACGCGAGCUGGGUUUAGAACGUCGUGAGACAGUUCGGUCCCUAUCUGCCGUGGGCGCUGGAGAACUGAGGGGGGCUGCUCCUAGUACGAGAGGACCGGAGUGGACGCAUCACUGGUGUUCGGGUUGUCAUGCCAAUGGCACUGCCCGGUAGCUAAAUGCGGAAGAGAUAAGUGCUGAAAGCAUCUAAGCACGAAACUUGCC
rnacentral:rRNA from 1 species